GCUUGUCUCAAAGAUUAAGCCAUGCAUGUCUAAGUACAAGCCUCAGUAAGGUGAAACCGCGAAUGGCUCAUUAAAUCACACCUAAUCUACUGGAAAGUUACUAGUUACUUGGAUAACUGAGGUAAUUCUUGAGCUAAUACAUGCGAAAAAUCUCGACUCACGGAGAGAUGCUUUUAUUAGAUCAAAACCAAACGGCUUCGGCCGUCUCAUUGGUGACUCUGAAUAACUUUGGGCUGAUCGUAUGGCAUCAGCUGGCGAUGAAUCAUUCAAGUUUCUGACCUAUCAGCUUCCGACGGUAGGGUAUUGGCCUACCGUGGCAAUGACGGGUAACGGAGAAUUAGGGUUCGAUUCCGGAGAGGGAGCCUGAGAAACGGCUACCACAUCUAAGGAAGGCAGCAGG
rnacentral:rRNA from 1 species